rnacentral:lncRNA from 1 species
CUUUCCAUUAAACCUAAAAGACAAGGUCACUAUUUUGCUGAUGUUUACCUGUCAAAGAUAAUUCUCAGGUCCUAGAGAAAGACAUUUUAAUUUUAAAGUAAUGCUGUAAUAGAUAUCAGAGGCCUAGAAUCCAGAAAGAAAUCUGUUUCUUCAAGUUGAAGAUUCUGGAGGAUUGAAAUCGUCAGAAUCUUUUGCCAGAUGUUCUAUCAUUAACUCAAGAGCAGAGGACAAAGACUUCUCCUGCUCCUGUUGCCUCAGCUGUCCCUGGGGUCUGCCUCAGCUCUACCUCCCCUCAGCUCUAUCUCUGAAGUAUAGCCACCAAGAAGGACUGUACUGAAUGCAGUGGGUUCAUUUCUUGGGGUUUAUUAUCGGUCAGGACCCAAGCCAAGCAUCAGACUCGAGCCUCCACUGGGGGAAGACAGACAUGUUUUAUACACCUUUGAGGCCAACAGUUUCUAGGCCCCCCUAUGGGAUAGAAGUAAAAGGUAAGCAAAAGGUACAGAAGCAGAACAUCCUGCUGUUCGAACAUUUGUAAAACAAUAGUUGAUUAAUUGUUAUUUCUAAAGAGACUUUCUAAGGGGAGGAGGUUUUUAAGCUUCCUCCUUCUGAGUUCAUCUAAAGGGCAGGCAGGUGGGUCAAGCAGCAAUAUGGAGUCUGUCUUGCUAACUAGGGUCUUUCACUCUCUAUUGACAUGUGCUGAAAAUUAUUUUUCUGUGAUAAGGGUCAGUAAGCUUAUUCUGUGGGUGGAAUGAGUUGAGAUUCCCCAUUUCCUAUUUGGGGAAACUUGUGGAACCCUGUCCAGUGACAGGAUUACAGAUCUGUGUCACCACACCUGACAGGAGUUUGCAAUUAUUAAUGUCAUAAAUGAUGUCUCAGAUUUCUUCUGAGUCAUUCUUUCUAAAGUUAUUGAUAAAAGAAUAAGAGAGUAGUUCAUAAAGCAUCAAUCAUCUAUGAUAAAGUUAAUUAUAUUAUUUCUUUAACAAGUUGCAAUUUAAGGCAUAGCUACUCUCUUUCUAUAUCCAACCAUUCUCUGGCUUUACUUGUAAAAUCACUUUUCACAUUAUAAUCAAACUCAAGGUUUCCUUUUCUCCACAUUGUCACAAGGGCAAUGAGGGGAAGGGUAAAAGGGAGUGCACACAUUGGUCAAAGCAGAAAAUAUGC